AAAGUUCAAAUAAAAAGUCCUCACAGAUUGUGACAACAAAGAAGAUGUGGGCUGACAGAGGAUGAAAUUUUCAGGGGCUGUGUUUCCUAAGUGGCCCAGAAAUGGGAGCUAGUGCUCCUUGAGUUCAUCUAGGGAGAGACACCCUGAGAAGAGGAGACGAUGGAGGAGAUGAAGGCGGGGUGCCCUCAGUCUUCCCCAUGCCUGCUUCUGCUCCCCUGCCCAGCCAGUCACAAAGAUGAAGACCUGGAGGUGGCCUCGUGUUACCUAAUCUUACAUAACCUUGGGACUGGAAGGUGGUCUCGUCCAACAGACUACACUGUUACCAACCCUGUCUGCAGACUUCCCACCACCCACCUCCUGGGCUGCCCACUGUGUCCUUGGAGAGCGUCUUCCUCAUAAGGGCCCUGGAAUGAGUUCCUGCAGAGGAAAAAUAAUACUUGUGACUGUACACACUCACUUACUCCUGGGCCAGAGAGGGGGCUGAGACCUGGAUGAAGAGGUGAAGGUGUCUUCAAGGGACUUAAAUGUUUCCUCCCUGGUAGAAGCAGAAUGAUUCGAACAUGUUCCCAGCCCAAGAAGUAAGUGCUUGGUGUCUAGUGGGAGUUGAGUCUUUAACCAUCAGAAUGAGCAGGGCCUUUUUUAUGGCUGAGUAGUACAGCCAUAAAGAAGGAGAAGAUUAUUUCACUUGCAGCAACAUGGAUGCAACUAGAGAUUCUCAGAUUAAGUAAAGUAUGUUAGCAAGAGAAAGACAAAUACCAUAUGGUAUCACUUACAUGUGGAAUCUAAAAUAUGGUACCAAUGAUCCUAUCUACAGAACAGAAAG
rnacentral:lncRNA from 1 species